GGAGGUUGAGGUCGACCAGAUUUUUCACAGGAGGCUGAGUUUCGAACGCUUGGAUCACAUGAGCUUCCUGGAUGAAGUGUACAAACUAGAACACAUGUAUAAUGUGUGGAGAAAUGUAUUCCUACUAGUCCCAGAUGAAAGUAUGUGGUCGUCGGUAUCAAGCGCUUCAUUCAAGUUGUUACCCAAUAGAUCAUUGUGUCACAAACC
rnacentral:lncRNA from 1 species